AUAGCGGGAGCCGAGGAGCGCUCCUGCUCAGUCGAGGCAGAGGAAAGAAAAUCUCAGGGAGCAGCGUGUCGCGGGGAAGGGAGAUAACCAUUUACACGCUCCGUGGGAACAAACUGAAGCUAUUUCCUUCCUUCUUGGACACAAGGAGACCUCACUAACUUUGGUUCCCAUUGCUCCUCAUUCCCCUUGAUGAAGAACCUCUGGGGACUUUAAAGGAUCUGAACCCGAACCGAACAAAGAGACAAAGGCAAGCUCCAUAUUUAAUUCGGUAUAUUAGUUGCAGUCACACUUCAGUGCAAAGAGCAAAUCUGUAAAUCUGGAGCAGAUUUAACUCCCUUAAACCACAGAUCAUCUACAAAAUGUUGAUUUUUCACAAGACAGUUAGCAUGAUGUUUCUUUGCAUUGUCCUCAGCGUGAAAAAUCUGUUUUGUGUUUUUGCAAGUGUGCAAUAAAAACAAGGAAGCAGAAGACAAGCUCUGUGUCUGUUUUGUGCUCCCAGAAGUGCCUUACUUAGUAAGAAGAGGGUUCGUGUCUCUUCUCCUUCCUCUCUGUGUCCUGAUUUACCCUUGUGGCUGGGACAAGCAUCCCUUUGAGGACGCACAAACAGACGGACAGACGGAAAGGGUCUCAACAGUGACCAGCGCCUUUUCAUCCCAG